CAAUCCUUUUAAUUUUGUCAAUUACAUGCACAACCUUCCAAACUAGUGUUAAUUUUAGCCAACUUUUGAGAGCAUAUGUCAUAACUCCUAAGUUGCUAACAUGACGUAUAAUCUAUUGAUAAAAAUUUCACAUGACCAUAUUUAAGGGGAGAGACCAAGGAGUACACAAAGAAAUGCAGUGAAAAUUAUCAGGAUUUUUUUUCUUUUACUUUUUUAUUUUUCAGAUAAUAUAUAAUCAUUUUUAAAAUGCUAACAUAAAAAUAUUUUUCAAAUAAAAUACUUAGCAUGCUAUUAAUUUGAGAUUUUUAGCACAUAUCCUUUCAAAUUUAGCUAAAAUUAACACCAACUUAAAGGGUUGUGAUUGUG
rnacentral:misc_RNA from 1 species